GACGAACGCUGGCGGCGUGCUUAACACAUGCAAGUCGAGCGGAAAGGCCCUUCGGGGUACUCGAGCGGCGAACGGGUGAGUAACACGUGAGUAACCUGCCCCAGACUUUGGGAUAACCCUCGGAAACGGGGGCUAAUACCGGAUACGACACAGCUUCGCAUGGGGUCUGUGUGGAAAGUUUUUCGGUUUGGGAUGGGCUCGCGGCCUAUCAGCUUGUUGGUGGGGUGAUGGCCUACCAAGGCGACGACGGGUAGCCGGCCUGAGAGGGCGACCGGCCACACUGGGACUGAGACACGGCCCAGACUCCUACGGGAGGCAGCAGUGGGGAAUAUUGCACAAUGGGCGGAAGCCUGAUGCAGCGACGCCGCGUGAGGGAUGACGGCCUUCGGGUUGUAAACCUCUUUCAGCAGGGACGAAGCGAAAGUGACGGUACCUGCAGAAGAAGCGCCGGCCAACUACGUG
rnacentral:rRNA from 1 species